CAAGAUUUGGCUAUUGUGAGAAGAAUAGAAUUAGAAAACAAAAUCAAGCUGAGUGUAAAAUUGCUCAUAGAUUUCAUCUAAUUAUGAGAAUGAGUGUAAAAUUGCUACUUGGCGAAACACACAUGGCUGAUGGAGCAUUAUCCUCACAAGGCACUAUUGACGAUUGAGCUGAUUUGGUAGUCUUUGUCCUCUUCUUUGG
rnacentral:lncRNA from 1 species